rnacentral:rRNA from 1 species
GUGAACGCUGGCGGCAGGCCUAACCCAUGCCAGUCGCGCGGCAGCGCGGGGGCAACCCUGGCGGCGAGCGGCGGACGGGUGAGGAAUUCGUCGGAAUCUGCCUUUUUGUGGGGGAUAACGUAGGGAAACUUACGCUAAUACCGCAUACGUCCUACGGGAGAAAGUGGGGGACCGCAAGGCCUCACGCAGAAAGAUGAGCCGACGACCGAUUAGCUAGUUGGUGGGGUAAAGGCCCACCAAGGCGACGAUCGGUAGCUGGUCUGAGAGGAUGAUCAGCCACACUGGGACUGAGACACGGCCCAGACUCCUACGGGAGGCAGCAGUGGGGAAUAUUGGACAAUGGGCGCAAGCCUGAUCCAGCCAUGCCGCGUGUGUGAAGAAGGCCUUCGGGUUGUAAAGCACUUUUGUCCGGAAAGAAAUCCCUGGAGCUAAUACCUUCGGGGGAUGACGGUACCGGAAGAAUAAGCACCGGCUAACUUCGU